UACGAAGGGGGCUAGCGUUGCUCGGAAUCACUGGGCGUAAAGGGUGCGUAGGCGGGCCUUUAAGUCCGGGGUGAAAUCCUGGAGCUCAACUCCAGAACUGCCUUUGAUACUGAGGAUCUUGAGUUCGGGAGAGGUGAGUGGAACUGCGAGUGUAGAGGUGAAAUUCGUAGAUAUUCGCAAGAACACCAGUGGCGAAGGCGGCUCACUGGCCCGAUACUGACGCUGAGGCACGAAAGCUAGGGGAGCAAACGGG
rnacentral:rRNA from 1 species